rnacentral:rRNA from 1 species
UACGUAGGGCGCAAGCGUUGUCCGGAAUUAUUGGGCGUAAAGAGCUCGUAGGCGGUUUGUCGCGUCUGCUGUGAAGACUCGAGGCUCAACCUCGGGCUUGCAGUGGGUACGGGCAGACUAGAGUGCGGUAGGGGAGACUGGAAUUCCUGGUGUAGCGGUGAAAUGCGCAGAUAUCAGGAGGAACACCGGUGGCGAAGGCAGGUCUCUGGGCCGAUACUGACGCUGAGGAGCGAAAGCGUGGGGAGCGAACAGG